rnacentral:rRNA from 1 species
CAGUCGCCGCGGGAAUACGUAGGUGGCAAGCGUUGUCCGGAAUUAUUGGGCGUAAAGCGCGCGCAGGCGGAUAGGUCAGUCUGUCUUAAAAGUUCGGGGCUUAACCCCGUGAUGGGAUGGUAACUGCCAAUCUAGAGUAUCGGAGAGGAAAGUGGAAUUCCUAGUGUAGCGGUGAAAUGCGUAGAUAUUAGGAAGAACACCAGUGGCGAAGGCGGCUUUCUGGACUGUAACUGACGCUGAGGCUCGAAAGCCAGGGGAGCGAACGGGAUUAGAUACCCCUGUAGUCCCUGUCUCUUAUACA